CCUACGGGAGGCAGCAGUGAGGAAUAUUGGACAAUGGAGGCAACUCUGAUCCAGCCAUGCCGCGUGUAGGAAGACUGCCCUAUGGGUUGUAAACUACUUUUAUAGAGGAAGAAACCCCGAUAUGUAUAUCGGUCUGACGGUACUCUACGAAUAAGGAUCGGCUAACUCCGUGCCAGCAGCCGCGGUAAUACGGAGGAUCCAAGCGUUAUCCGGAAUCAUUGGGUUUAAAGGGUCCGUAGGCGGGUUUGUAAGUCAGUGGUGAAAGUUUUCAGCUCAACUGGAAAAUUGCCAUUGAUACUGCAAGUCUUGAAUUAUUAUGAAGUGGUUAGAAUAAGUAGUGUAGCGGUGAAAUGCAUAGAUAUUACUUAGAAUACCGAUUGCGAAGGCAGAUCACUAAUAAUGUAUUGACGCUAAGGGACGAAAGCGUGGGUAGCGAACAGGAUUAGAUACCCUAGUAGUC
rnacentral:rRNA from 1 species